rnacentral:rRNA from 1 species
AUUGAACGCUGGCGGAAUGCUUAACACAUGCAAGUCGAGCGAGCUGUAGCAAUACAGCUAGCGGCGGAUGGGUGAGGAAUACAUAGGAAUCUGCCUCAGAGCGGGGGAUAGCCCGGGGAAACUCGGAGUAAUACCGCAUGAUGUCGCAAGACCAAAGUGGGGGACCGCAAGGCCCCACACUCUGAGAUGAGCCUAUGUCUGAUUAGCUAGUUGGCGGGGUAAUGGCCCACCAAGGCGACGAUCAGUAGCUGGUCUGAGAGGACGAUCAGCCACACCGGAACUAAGACACGGUCCGGACUCCUACGGGAGGCAGCAGUGGGGAAUAUUGGACAAUGGGCGCAAGCCUGAUCCAGCAAUUCCGCGUGGGUGAAGAAGGCCUUCGGGUUGUAAAGCCCUUUAAGUUGGGACAAAAAAAUCGGCGAUAACAUCGCCGGUCUUGAUGGUACCGACAGAAUAAGCAACGGCUAACUCCGUGCCAGCAGCCGCCGUAA